UCUAUCCUUAACCUUAAACUCAAUUGAAAAAUAAAUGAAUAAUAAAGUAUAAAUAUAAAAGUGAUGUAAACACAAAUUUAGCGUAUAUCAUUUAGUAAGAAUGAUAGAAUACGAAAUCAAAAUAAGGAUCAAAUACAUAAGUCUGGUUAUAAAGCGGCAGUCAAAAAAAAUAUUAAGAAAAUGCUUAAGUACUCUAUAUUAUUUUUAAUUAGAACUCCACAUUAUUUUUUUAUUUGAUCGAUAAAAAGGUAAAAAUAAGGAUUAAACUGAUUUUUAAUAUAUAAAAAUGUAAAACUGAUAUUUAUAUUGAAACAAAAUUUAAAAUACGGAAUACUUUUAUGGAAUGGAAAGAGGAUAAAAUUAAAGUCUUUUAUACCACAAACUGAAACCUAAAACCUAAAAUCCAAAAAAAAAACAAUGAGAUUUUACGCCACCAACUCGAGAGCAAAUGUGCGAAAAAUUAACUUGAAAAAUAAUCUGUUAAAGAUUAAUAUCAAAUAAAUAAUUAUUAUACAAUAACCAAAAUAUAAAAAAUACAAUAAAUGUCUAGAUUAUAAAUAUUUAGAUAUAAAACUUAUAUUAAUAUAAUUAUUCAUUUAUAAAAUGAAAAUAUUUUAUAAACAAUAAAAUAAAAAAAUUUCCGCAGCGUAGCGCGGGUAGUUACCUAGUAAAUUAAUAAUAGUG
rnacentral:lncRNA from 1 species